rnacentral:rRNA from 1 species
UGGGUAACCUGCCUCAAAGAGGGGAAUAGCCUCCCGAAAGGGAGAUUAAUACCGCAUAAUAUGUUUAGGUCGCAUGACUUUAACAUCAAAGGAUUUUCUUUUAGAAAUUCCACUUUGAGAUGGACCCGCGGCGCAUUAGCUAGUUGGUGAGGUAACGGCUCACCAAGGCAACGAUGCGUAGCCGACCUGAGAGGGCGACCGGCCACACUGGGACUGAGACACGGCCCAGACCUCCGUACGGGAGCAG